GAUGAACGCUGGCGGCGUGCCUAAUACAUGCAAGUCGAGCGAACGGACGAGAAGCUUGCGUCUCUGAUGUUAGCGGCGGACGGGUGAGUAACACGUGGAUAACCUACCUAUAAGACUGGGAUAACUUCGGGAAACCGUAACUAAUACCGGAUAAUAUUUUGAACCGCAUGGUUCAAAAGUGAAAGACGGUCUUGCUGUCACUUAGAGAUGGAUCCGCGCUGCAUUAGCUAGUUGGUAAGGUAACGGCUUACCAAGGCAACGAUGCAUAGCCGACCUGAGAGGGUGAUCGGCCACACUGGAACUGAGACACGGUCCAGACUCCUACGGGAGGCAGCAGUAGGGAAUCUUGCGCAAUGGGCGCAAGCCUGACGGAGCCACGCCGCGUGAGUGAUGAAGGUCUUCGGAUCGUAAAACUCUGUUAUUAGGGAAGAACAUAUGUGUAAGUAACUGUGCACAUCUUGACGGUACCUAAUCAGAAAGCCACGGCUAACUACGUG
rnacentral:rRNA from 1 species